rnacentral:rRNA from 1 species
AGGAUGAACGCUAGCGGCAGGCUUAAUACAUGCAAGUCGUGGGGCAGCAUGAGUAGCAAUACUUGAUGGCGACCGGCAAACGGGUGAGGAACACGUACACUAACCUUCCUUCAGCGGGGAAUAGCCCAGAGAAAUUUGGAUUAAUACCCCAUAAUAUAUUUGAUAAGGCAUCUUAUUAAUAUUAAAGCUUCGGCACUUGAUGAUGGGUGUGCGGCUGAUUAGAUAGUUGGCGGGGUAACGGCCCACCAAGUCUACGAUCAGUAGCUGAUGUGAGAGCAUGAUCAGCCACACGGGCACUGAGACACGGGCCCGACUCCUACGGGAGGCAGCAGUAAGGAAUAUUGGACAAUGGACGAAAGUCUGAUCCAGCCAUGCCGCGUGAAGGAUUAAGGUCCUCUGGAUUGUAAACUUCUUUUAUAUGGGACGAAAAAAGGGCAUUCUUGUUCACUUGACGGUACCAUAUGAAUAAGCACCGGCUAACUCCGUG